rnacentral:lncRNA from 1 species
GGCGUUCUCGAUCACCCUGUGCAGAAAGAUUCACAGGUUCAGGAAAUGUCUAUUCACCCUGGUCCAUGUUGCAUGCAAUGUUUCAUGAGAGGAUCUCAUCAGUCCUUCCCAUUCCUUCAUGGCUUUAUCUUUGCUAAUUAGAUGGGGCCACAGACGAUGGAUGCUAUACAUAAUGAUAACACAUUGGCUUGUUUUUUCAAUCAUCUGGACAACCUAACUCACCAUUUCUGAGGACUGAACAGAAAAUCAUCUCAUAAUUUCAUAAGAAUUGUUUGUUACAUGAACAGUGUUGGGACCCAGCCCCCCCAGGGUCUCUAAGAGUUGUUUUCCAGCAUAACCACAGGUACCUCCUGUUUUCCUGACCUCAUCCCACUGGGAUCAAUAUCCUGUUGUGAACCCUUUGACCUGGGGUUUUUGUAAGUUUGUAUAUAAGGCUGUUCCACAAUAAAGAUGAGAGUCAUUCUCUCAGAAAGUGGACCAGGCGUCUUGUGGUUCAUCCAAAU